rnacentral:misc_RNA from 1 species
UCCGGUUUGUCACCGGCAGUCUCCGAUGAGUCCCCAACUAAAUGAUGGCAACAUCGAACGGGGGUUGCGCUCGUUGCGGGACUUAACCCAACAUCUCACAACACGAGCUGACGACAGCCAUGCAGCACCUGUCACUCGGUUCCCGAAGGCACUCCGCCGUCUCCGACAGAUUCCGAGGAUGUCAAGGGUAGGUAAGGUUCUUCGCGUUGCAUCGAAUUAAACCACAUGCUCCACCGCUUGUGCGGGCCCCCGUCAAUUCAUUUGAGUUUUAGCCUUGCGGCCGUACUCCCCAGGCGGGGCGCUUAAUGCGUUAGCUACGGCACAGAACCCAAAACGGACCCCACACCUAGCGCCCACCGUUUACAGCAUGGACUAC